rnacentral:lncRNA from 1 species
ACACGGAACUUUUCAUGCUCUUUUCACUUUGCCAAACACUCCAUCUCUAGCAUCAAUAUUCUCUCUCAAACGCCAAACGCAGACGCCGAACUCUAGCUUCGCUGAACAAGGUAUCAUCGGCUUUCAAGGUAUCAUCUUCCUAUUUAGUAUCCUCCUCCUCCUACCAUUACUCUCUCAUACGCCUAAAUUCUCAAAACCCUAAAAUUUGUGCAUACUCUUAUUUUGGGUGAAAAUUUUGUGAAGGGAUUACUCUAAUUUGGAGAGGCAGGUAGAUGUCUUACUGUAGUUUCUUUGCAUGUUGUUUUAUUUGAUAUAUAUUCUCGUGUGCAUAGGCAGUAAGAUUGUUGUUAUAGAGAACGUGGAUGCUACUGAGGUGAGUUCAUUAAACUUCCCCCAUUGAUUUUUUCUUUUAUUUUUUGGGCUUUUCAAGUCUUUAAUAGUUGUUGUAGCUUUGCAAUGCUUCUAAUCUGUUGAUUUCAUUUGCAAAGAGUUAAGCAUUAUGGAAUUAUAUGUACUGUUCCUUUGCAGGAUCAAUUUGAUUGCAUUGAUUUGUCUGACAAUGAGAUAGUUAAGCUUGAAAAUUUUCCCUAUCUAAAUUGACUUGGUACUUUGUUGCUAAACAACAAUAGAAUUACCCGUAUUAAUCCUAGCAUUUGGGUUAAAAUUUUGUGCAAACUCUUUGAGAAUUGAAAAGGAAGGGAUUACUUUAAUUCGAACUCUGAUAGUGGUAUAUGUCUGAUGGAUUAGUUUCUCUUGUAGGGACUUACUGAGAAGUUCAAGGAGAAGGACAUUGCAUACUUGUUCAAGGCUUUAUUCGUUCAAGAUUCUAGCACUCGUCUGUUUGAUGCUUUAGAACAUUGUGGACUUGCAUUCGGAUAUAUUAUAAGGUUACAUAAGGAUUCUGUUUUUGUUAUGUGCUAACCCUGAUCAGUGUCAUCAAAAUUCAGAAGCUCCUAGUUGGGAAUUAUUCCUUGAUUUUGCUACUUUGGAAUUUCUUUGUAACCAUCUCCGUGCAAGAAGAUGCUUAAAUAGGAAAAAUUUGUAAUUAUAAUUUGGGAGAUGUAAUGAAGCAAAGAUAUUAGCUCAAUAUUUGUUUGAUGCAUUUCUAUCUCAUUUUGGUACAUAUUGGCAUGUGCUCUUGUAUUGAAAAUCCCUCUUCACU